rnacentral:rRNA from 1 species
AAAUUGAAGAGUUUGAUCAUGGCUCAGAUUGAACGCUGGCGGCAGGCCUAACACAUGCAAGUCGAGCGGUAGCACAGAGAGCUUGCUCUCGGGUGACGAGCGGCGGACGGGUGAGUAAUGUCUGGGAAACUGCCUGAUGGAGGGGGAUAACUACUGGAAACGGUAGCUAAUACCGCAUAACGUCGCAAGACCAAAGUGGGGGACCUUCGGGCCUCAUGCCAUCAGAUGUGCCCAGAUGGGAUUAGCUAGUAGGUGGGGUAAUGGCUCACCUAGGCGACGAUCCCUAGCUGGUCUGAGAGGAUGACCAGCCACACUGGAACUGAGACACGGUCCAGACUCCUACGGGAGGCAGCAGUGGGGAAUAUUGCACAAUGGGCGCAAGCCUGAUGCAGCCAUGCCGCGUGUAUGAAGAAGGCCUUCGGGUUGUAAAGUACUUUCAGCGAGGAGGAAGGCGUUAAGGUUAAUAACCUUAGCGAUUGACGUUACUCGCAGAAGAAGCACCGGCUAACUCCGUGCCAGCAGCCGCGGUAAUACGGAGGGUGCAAGCGUUAAUCGGAAUUACUGGGCGUAAAGCGCACGCAGGCGGUCUGUCAAGUCGGAUGUGAAAUCCCCGGGCUCAACCUGGGAACUGCAUUCGAAACUGGCAGGCUAGAGUCUUGUAGAGGGGGGUAGAAUUCCAGGUGUAGCGGUGAAAUGCGUAGAGAUCUGGAGGAAUACCGGUGGCGAAGGCGGCCCCCUGGACAAAGACUGACGCUCAGGUGCGAAAGCGUGGGGAGCAAACAGGAUUAGAUACCCUGGUAGUCCACGCCGUAAACGAUGUCGACUUGGAGGUUGUGCCCUUGAGGCGUGGCUUCCGGAGCUAACGCGUUAAGUCGACCGCCUGGGGAGUACGGCCGCAAGGUUAAAACUCAAAUGAAUUGACGGGGGCCCGCACAAGCGGUGGAGCAUGUGGUUUAAUUCGAUGCAACGCGAAGAACCUUACCUACUCUUGACAUCCAGAGAACUUAGCAGAGAUGCUUUGGUGCCUUCGGGAACUCUGAGACAGGUGCUGCAUGGCUGUCGUCAGCUCGUGUUGUGAAAUGUUGGGUUAAGUCCCGCAACGAGCGCAACCCUUAUCCUUUGUUGCCAGCGGUCCGGCCGGGAACUCAAAGGAGACUGCCAGUGAUAAACUGGAGGAAGGUGGGGAUGACGUCAAGUCAUCAUGGCCCUUACGAGUAGGGCUACACACGUGCUACAAUGGCAUAUACAAAGAGAAGCGACCUCGCGAGAGCAAGCGGACCUCAUAAAGUAUGUCGUAGUCCGGAUUGGAGUCUGCAACUCGACUCCAUGAAGUCGGAAUCGCUAGUAAUCGUAGAUCAGAAUGCUACGGUGAAUACGUUCCCGGGCCUUGUACACACCGCCCGUCACACCAUGGGAGUGGGUUGCAAAAGAAGUAGGUAGCUUAACCUUCGGGAGGGCGCUUACCACUUUGUGAUUCAUGACUGGGGUGAAGUCGUAACAAGGUAACCGUAGGGGAACCUGCGGUUGGAUCACCUCCUUACCUUAAAGAA